rnacentral:lncRNA from 13 species
AUGUAUUGGGGGUGGCACAGGGAGAGUGUGGCAGAGUCAGGAGUCAGACCUGAGCCAACUCCCCCUGUUUACCGUAAGGAGCCAUGGAUGGAAUCAGAGCUGUCGGCGAAGCUGAAGGAUGAAUCUGAGAGGGUAGAGGAGUUAUUGGACAGAUUGGAGGAGAGUGAACAGAUGGGAGAUGAGGAGACACUCGAGGAGAUGUUAAUAGAAUUGGAGGAGAGUGAAGAGAGAGAGCUGUUGAUUUGGCGUAGUAUGCAAGGCGUUCGCCCUGAGGUGCGUGUCCCCAGCCCGAUACCACCAGUGCCGGCAACCCGCACCAGGCUGUAUCUCCGUCCCAUCAAUAGAGGUGCUCCCGCCUGUCCGGCGCUACCAGAGUUUCCGCCUCUCAGUCCAGAGGCGCCAGAGCCUUCCUCCUCUCCAGCGCUGCCAGAGCCUUCCUCCUCUCCAGCGCUGCCGGAGUCUCCCGCCUGUCCGGCGCUGCCAGAGCUUCCGUCCCUCAGUCCAGAGCCGCCAGAGCCCCUCAGUCCAGAGGCGCCAGAGCUUCUCUGUCCAGCGCUGCCAGAGCCUUCCUCCUCUCCAGCGCUGCCAGAGCCUUCCUCCUCUCCAGCGCUGCCGGAGUCUCCCGCCUGUCCGGCGCUGCCAGAGCUUCCACCCCUCAGUCCAGAGGCGCCAGAGCCCCUCAGUCCAGAGGCGCCAGAGCCUUCCUCCUCUCCAGCGUUGCCAGAGCUUCCGCCCCUCAGUCCAGAGGCGCCAGAGCCCCUCAGUCCAGCACUGCCAGAGCCUUCCUCCUCUCCAGCGCUGUCAGAGUCUCCCGCCUGUCCAGAGCCGGCAGAGCCCCUCAGUCCAGAGGCGCCAGAGCUCCUCUGUCCAGCGCUGCCAGACCCUUCCUCCUCUCCAGCGCUGCCAGAGCUUCCGCCCCUCAGUCCAGAGGCGCCAGAGCCCCUCAGUCCAGAGGCGCCAGAGCUCCUCUGCCCAGCGCCGCCUGAGCCGCCCGUCUGCCCAGCGCAGGAGCUGCCAGAGCCGUCAGCCAGCCAGGAGCUGCCAGAGCCGUCAGCCAGCCAGGAGCUGCCAGAGCCGUCAACCAGCCUGUGCUACCCCUUAAGUCCAGAGCUACCCCUUAAGUCCAGAGCUACCCCUUAA